rnacentral:tRNA from 1 species
GGGCGAUUAGCUCAGUUGGUUAGAGCGCUACCUUCACACGGUAGAAGCCACAGGUUCGAAUCCUGUAUCGCCCA